rnacentral:tRNA from 1 species
GGGGGUGUAGCUCAGUGGGAGAGCAUUUGACUGCAGAUCAAGAGGUCCUUGGUUCAAUUCCAAGUGCCCCCU